AUUGAACGCUGGCGGCAUGCCUUACACAUGCAAGUCGAACGGUAACAGGUCUUCGGAUGCUGACGAGUGGCGAACGGGUGAGUAAUACAUCGGAACGUGCCCGAUCGUGGGGGAUAACGGAGCGAAAGCUUUGCUAAUACCGCAUACGAUCUACGGAUGAAAGCAGGGACCGCAAGGCCUUGCGCGGACGGAGCGGCCGAUGGCAGAUUAGGUAGUUGGUGGGAUAAAAAGCUUACCAAGCCGACGAUCUGUAGCUGGUCUGAGAGGACGACCAGCCACACUGGGACUGAGACACGGCCCAGACUCCUACGGGAGGCAGCAGUGGGGAAUUUUGGACAAUGGGCGCAAGCCUGAUCCAGCCAUGCCGCGUGCAGGAUGAAGGCCUUCGGGUUGUAAACUGCUUUUGUUACGGAACGAAAAGACUCUUUCUAAUAAAGAGGUCCAAUGAGGUACCGUAAGAAUAAGCACCGGCUAACUAACGUGCCAAGCAGCCGCGGU
rnacentral:rRNA from 1 species